GACGAACGCUGGCGGCGUGCUUAACACAUGCAAGUCGAACGGAAAGGCCCCUUUGGGGGUACUCGAGUGGCGAACGGGGGAGUAACACGUGAGUAACCUGCCCUUGACUUCGGGAUAACUUCAGGAAACUGGGGCUAAUACCGGAUAGGAAUCCUUGCUGCAUGGUGGGGGUUGGAAAGCUUCGGCGGUUUUGGAUGGACUCGCGGCUUAUCAGCUUGUUGGUGGGGUAGUGGCUUACCAAGGCUUUGACGGGUAGCCGGCCUGAGAGGGCGACCGGCCACAUUGGGACUGAGAGACGGCCCAGACUCCUACGGGAGGCAGCAGUGGGGAAUAUUGCACAAUGGGCGGAGGCCUGAUGCAGCAACGCCGCGUGCGGGAUGACGGCCUUCGGGUUGUAAACCGCUUUCAGCAGGGGCGAAGCUUGUGGUGACGGUACCUGCAGAAGAAGCACCGGCUAACUACGUG
rnacentral:rRNA from 1 species